ACGAACGCUGGCGGCAUGCCUAACACAUGCAAGUCGAACGAGACCUUCGGGUCUAGUGGCGCACGGGUGCGUAACGCGUGGGAACCUGCCCUUAGGUUCGGAAUAACACCCCGAAAGGGGUGCUAAUACCGGAUAAUGUCUUCGGACCAAAGAUUUAUCGCCUUUGGAUGGGCCCGCGUUGGAUUAGCUAGUUGGUAGGGUAAAAGCCUACCAAGGCGACGAUCCAUAGCUGGUCUGAGAGGAUGAUCAGCCACACUGGGACUGAGACACGGCCCAGACUCCUACGGGAGGCAGCAGUGGGGAAUAUUGGACAAUGGGCGAAAGCCUGAUCCAGCAAUGCCGCGUGAGUGAUGAAGGCCUUAGGGUUGUAAAGCUCUUUUACCCGGGAUGAUAAUGACAGUACCGGGAGAAUAAGCUCCGGCUAACUCCGUG
rnacentral:rRNA from 1 species